AAUGAACGUUGGCGGCGUGGAUUAGGCAUGCAAGUCGAGCGAGAACCGUAGCAAUACGGGGACAGCGGCGAAAGGGACAGUAAUGUGUAGGUACCUACCCCCGGGUUCGGGAUAGCUGCGGGAAACUGCAGGUAAUACCGAAUAAUGUCCUCGGACCAAAGGUGUGAUUCCACCUGGGGAGGGGCCUGCGUCCUAUUAGCUUGUUGGUGGGGUAACGGCUUACCAAGGCGACGAUGGGUAGCGGGUGUGAGAGCAUGACCCGCGUCAUUGGGACUGAGACACUGCCCAGACACCUACGGGUGGCUGCAGUCGAGGAUCUUCGGCAAUGGGCGCAAGCCUGACCGAGCGACGCCGCGUGCGGGAUGAAGGCCUUCGGGUUGUAAACCGCUGUCGUAGAGGAGGAAAUGCAGGAGGGUUCUCCCUUCUGCUUGACCUAUUCUAGGAGGAAGUACGGGCUAAGUUCGUGCCAGCCGCCGCAGUAA
rnacentral:rRNA from 1 species